CUGUUCAGACGUACACGCAUUAUUUGGAACUGAAAAUUACGUAAUUUAUCGACCUGCUGGCUUGUAUUUGUUAUAAAUCAUAAAAAACCUGUGACGCCAGUGGAACUACGUGGUUUUCUUUCGUGAUGAUUUGAUGAUACCUCAAUGGAAUUGAGCCAAGUUUUCGCCCAACCCUCGUGACCUCGCUCCACCAGCUCAAACCUGCCACUCGCAGCUCAUUUUUCGACGGACUGCUUCCAUGAGUGGACAAAGCACCGACGAUCACGGCUUGCAUCACCUGUACUGCUAUGUAAUAAUAUAUAGUAUGCUGAACACCGCUGCCAUUAUACUAGGAACAACGUCCUGCCCCUUCCCCGGCUGCGCACAAAUUGGAACUCCAUUGGCAUGCCCCUUUGACUGAGCAACUUGUGUAUGUGUGUGUGCUCGAAACACAUUCACUUGCAACAGAAUGACUCCCAGGCUGAUCUGGCUCAGUUCCUGUAUGUCUGAUCUACAUCCACAAUGGUUUCAAUGAAAGAGUUAAAAUUCUUCUCCAUGUACAAUCACUUCUAACGCCUACACUGACUACACCAAAUAUGAUCAUCACUCAACGUGUCUCACAUCAAGAUACUUUUCAAAAGUCAUCGA